rnacentral:rRNA from 1 species
UACAGAGGGUGCAAACGUUGCUCGGAAUCAUUGGGCGUAAAGCGCACGUAGGCGGCCUAGCAAGUAGGGAGUGAAAGCCCUCGGCUUAACCGAGGAAGUGCUUUCUAAACUACUAGGCUUGAAUACUGGAGAGGGUCGCGGAAUUCCCGGUGUAGAGGUGAAAUUCGUAGAUAUCGGGAGGAACACCAGUGGCGAAGGCGGCGCUCUGGGCCGGUACUGACGCUGAGGAGCGAAAGCGUGGGUAGCAAACAGG